rnacentral:misc_RNA from 1 species
UUUCCGUAGGUGAACCUGCGAAAGGAUCAUUCAUAAUAAAGUGUUUUAUGGCACUUUUUAAAAAUCCAUAUCCACCUUGUGUGCAAUGUUAGAUCUCGUCAAUCUUGGCGAGAUUUUUAUACAUCAACUCAUUCUUUAACUAAUUUGUCUGAAAAAUAUUAUGAAUACUUAAUUCAAAAUACAACUUUCAACAACGGAUCUCUUGGCUCUC